UACGGAGGGGGCUAGCGUUGUUCGGAAUUACUGGGCGUAAAGCGCACGUAGGCGGCUAUUUAAGUCAGAGGUGAAAGCCCGGGGCUCAACCCCGGAAUUGCCUUUGAGACUGGAUAGCUAGAAUCUUGGAGAGGCGGGUGGAAUUCCGAGUGUAGAGGUGAAAUUCGUAGAUAUUCGGAAGAACACCAGUGGCGAAGGCGGCCCGCUGGACAAGUAUUGACGCUGAGGUGCGAAAGCGUGGGGAGCAAACAGG
rnacentral:rRNA from 1 species